AACACAUGCAAGUCGAACGGAGCUUAAGAAGGAAGCUUGCUUCAUUUAAGCUUAGUGGCGGACGGGUGAGUAACGCGUGAGCAACCUGCCCUUCAGUGGGGGAAUAACACCGAGAAAUCGGUGCUAAUACCGCAUAAUGUCGGAGGACCGCAUGAUCUUCCGACCAAAGGAUUUAUUCGCUGAAGGAUGGGCUCGCGUCCGAUUAGGCAGUUGGCGGGUAACGGCCCACCAAACCAACGAUCGGUAGCCGAACUGAGAGGUUGAUCGGCCACAUUGGGACUGAGACACGGCCCAGACUCCUACGGGAGGCAGCAGUGGGGAAUAUUGGGCAAUGGGCGAAAAAGCCUGACCCAGCAACGCCGCGUGAAGGAUGAAGGUCUUCGGAUUGUAAACUUCUUUGAUUGGGGAAGAAUAAAUGACCUACCCAAAGAACAAGUCACGGCUAACUACGUGCCAGCCGCCGC
rnacentral:rRNA from 1 species